rnacentral:rRNA from 1 species
GACGGAGGGGUCCAAGCGUUGUUCGGAAUCAUUGGGCGUAAAGCGGGUGUAGGUGGCUCUGUAAGUCAGGAGUGAAAGCCCCGAGCUUAACUCGGGAAGUGCUUUUGAUACUGCAGAGCUUGAAUGUGGGAGAGGAUCGUGGAAUUCCAGGUGUAGUGGUGAAAUACGUAGAUAUCUGGAGGAACACCGGUGGCGAAGGCGGCGAUCUGGCCCAACAGUUGACACUGAGACCCGAAAGCGUGGGGAUCAAACAGGAUUAGGAAACCCCA